GAUGAACGCUGGCGGCGUGCCUAAUACAUGCAAGUCGAGCGAACGGACGAGAAGCUUGCUUCUCUGAUGUUAGCGGCGGACGGGUGAGUAACACGUGGAUAACCUACCUAUAAGACUGGGAUAACUUCGGGAAACCGGAGCUAAUACCGGAUAAUAUUUUGAACCGCGUGGUUCAAAAGUGAAAGACGGUCUUGCUGUCACUUAUAGAUGCAUCCGCGCUGCAUUAGCUAGUUGGUAAGGUAACGGCUUACCAAGGCAACGAUGCAUAGCCGACCUGAGAGGGUGAUCGGCCACACUGGAACUGAGACACGGUCCAGACUCCUACGGGAGGCAGCAGUAGGGAAUCUUCCGCAAUGGGCGAAAGCCUGACGGAGCAACGCCGCGUGAGUGAUGAAGGUCUUCGGAUCGUAAAACUCUGUUAUUAGGGAAGAACAUAUGUGUAAGUAACUGUGCACAUCUUGACGGUACCUAAUCAGAAAGCCACGGCUAACUACGUG
rnacentral:rRNA from 1 species